AAUAGAUACCCUGGUAGUCCACGCCGUAAACGAUGAGUGCUAAGUGUUAGAGGGUUUCCGCCCUUUAGUGCUGCAGCUAACGCAUUAAGCACUCCGCCUGGGGAGUACGGUCGCAAGACUGAAACUCAAAGGAAUUGACGGGGGCCCGCACAAGCGGUGGAGCAUGUGGUUUAAUUCGAAGCAACGCGAAGAACCUUACCAGGUCUUGACAUCCUCUGACAACUCUAGAGAUAGAGCGUUCCCCUUCGGGGGACAGAGUGACAGGUGGUGCAUGGUUGUCGUCAGCUCGUGUCGUGAGAUGUUGGGUUAAGUCCCGCAACGAGCGCAACCCUUGAUCUUAGUUGCCAGCAUUUAGUUAGGCACUCUAAGGUGACUGCCGGUGACAAACCGGAGGAAGGUGGGGAUGACGUCAAAUCAUCAUGCCCCUUAUGACCUGGGCUACACACGUGCUACAAUGGAUGGUACAAAGGGCUGCAAGACCGCGAGGUCAAGCCAAUCCCAUAAAACCAUUCUCAGUUCGGAUUGU
rnacentral:rRNA from 1 species